GCAUGAUGGGAGGUGUAGUCCAAUAACACCUGAAGGACCACAGCUCUCCCCCUGCUCCUCUCAAAUUCAGGGUUUUACUCAUUUACUACAUUUAUGUUCCAAUUCUCCCACUUCGAUCUUCACAAUGACCCUGUGAGGUAGGUAAGGCUAAGAAGGAGCCACACGCUCCAGCUGGCUGUAUCCACUGUUAGCUUCUACUCAGAGCAGACCCACUGAACCUGAUUGGACACAACUAUCGGCAGUGUAUUGAUUUCAGUAGGUCUGCUCUGAGCAGACGGCAAUCCUAGUUUUCCAGCUUUUUUAUUAGCAUUAUUUAAAACAUGGUGCUGAGGGGGAGAUGCCUAUGGUUCUACUGUGGCGCAUGAUAGGGUCUUCUGUUGUGACCAGCCCCUCCCCUUUGGAAGAGAUAUACUUUGAGAACCCCAAUUCUUCUGCGUGACCCCCCAAUAACCACAAGCCAAGUAAAUUGUGAAACGUGCUUCAGAGCACAAAAUAUUUUAUUUUUUUAAAGAAUGUACAGUGUGUUGAUUCUAACAUUUAGAGAGGACAGGGAGAAGGCUCUCUGUGCCAAGGAAAACCUCUUGAGCUGAGAACAUGUUUUGGCGGGUCCACAUGAAAAGACACAGAAUCAGAGACAGCUGCACAAAAAGGGCAGAAUGGCCAGUGGGGCACAAGUAUUUGAGAAGACUUGGAAGGUAAAAAAAGAAGCAGCCAUCAUCACACUGUUAGCAAAAAGUCCAGGGCUCUUGAAUGUGGAUCGUUAACAAUUCCUCCUGAACACAAGUAAUCCCUUCGUCACAUAUUUAAGGCUUUCCAGGUUCCAAAUAUGUGGAUUUAACCCAUAAACACUCCAGUCAAUAUUAAUAAAUCAGUAAUAAUAAUCAUGAUUUAUUUAUAUGCUGCCCAUCUGACUGGGUUACCCCAGCCACUCUGGGUGGCUUCCAACAAAUUAAAACACAAUUAAGAUCAAACAUUUAAAAUUCCCUAUAGAGGGCAGCCUUCAGAUGUCAUCUAAAAGUCAGAUAAUUGUUUAUUUCUUUGACAUCUGAUGGAAGAGCAUUCCAGAGGGAGGGUGCCACUGCUGAGAAGGCUCUCUUCCUGGUUCCCUCUAACCUCACUUCUCGCAGUGAGGGAACCACCAGAAAGCCCUCAGAGCUGGAUCUCAGUGUCUGGGCUGAAUGAUGAAGGUGGAGAUGCUCCUUCAGGUAUGCAGGGACAAAGCCGUUUAGGGCUUUAAAGCACCAACACUUUGAAUUGUGCUCGGAAACGUACUGGGAGCCAAUGUAGAUAUAAUUUGGGACCAGUGUUAUAUGGCCCCAGAAGCUGCUCCCCAUCACCAGUCUGGCAGCCGUAUUCUGGAUUAGUUGUAGCUUCCGAAUCACCUUCAAAGGUAGCCCCACAUACAGCACAUUGCAGUAGUCCAAGCGGGAGAAAACCAGAGCAUGUACCACUCUGGCGAGACAGUGUGCAGGCAGAUAGGGUCUCAGCCUGUGUACCAGAUGGAGUUGAUAAGACAGCUGCCCUGGACAGUGUUGAUCUAUGCCUCAAUGGACAGCAGUGAGUCCAAAAUGACUCCCAGGCUGCACACCUGGUCUAAGGAGUCCAGUUACCCCAUUCAGAACCAGGGAAUUCCCUGCACCUGCCCACCCUCUGUCCCCCAGAAACAGUACAUCUGUCUUGUGAAAAUUCAACCUCAAUCCAUUAGCCGCCAUCCAUCCCCCAACUGCCUCUGGACACCCACAUAGUAUGUUUACCACCUUCAUUGGUUCCGAUUUAAACAGGAGGUAAAGCUGGGUAUCAUCCACAUAUUGGUGAACAUCUAGCUCAACCCCCCUGAUGAUCUCUACCAGUGGUUUCAGUGUUAAAAAGCAUGGGGGAGAGGACAGAAACCUGAGGCACCCCACAAGUGAGUGCCCAGGAGUCCAUUCACUUCCCACUCCUUUCUGGACACAGUGCAGGAGGAAGGAGCUGCAUAACAGUGCCUCCAACUAAACAUCUCUUUCAUCUCUUCAGCAUAAUUGGUUGUGGUGGGUGAGUGAAUUGGCUCCAUCACUACCAGAGCAAAUCUUAACCCAGCACAUAAAUAAAUAUUUAAGUCUCCCUCCUGUUGGGGUUCUGUCAAGCUUAAGAGGGUGUGAGUGUGGCCUACUUCAAAGGGAAGGUUGGCUGAAUCAAAAUCUGCUUGAUUUAAUAGAAUACCACAGUGAUCCUGAUCAUGAAGUAAGAGAAAGACCCUCCCCCACUUAAAGAACAACAACCUUUAAACCAUUACUGCAUUAAUUUAGAGAUUUAUAACCAAGAGUUUGAGAGAGAGAGAAAGAAAGAAAGAGAGAGAUAUAUUGCACUUCAAGAGGAAUCGCCAGAGAGAGAAGAGCAUCAUCUACGAUAUAAAGAGCUUCUGGGAGUUGUUUGUUUUUUUAACUAUACAGUGGCUGCAGAAGG